GACAGAGGGGGCAAGCGUUGCUCGGAAUUACUGGGCGUAAAGGGCGCGUAGGCGGGAGUGGCAAGUCGGUCGUGAAAUCCCUCGGCUCAACUGAGGAUCGUCGAUCGAUACUGCCGUUCUUGAGGAUUGCAGAGGAGACUGGAAUUCCCGGUGUAGCGGUGAAAUGUGUAGAGAUCGGGAGGAACACCGGUGGCGAAGGCGGGUCUCUGGGCAAUUCC
rnacentral:rRNA from 1 species